AUUAAAAUUGUUAAUUUUGAGACAUUUUGAUCACUACCCAAAUGAUGUCGAAAAAUUAUGAAAUUUAGUUUCCAAAUACUUUUAAUAGUAUAGAUCAAGUCUAACGGAGCCGAUCGUUGAUUUGGAAGCCGUAUCAUUGAAAACAACUUGGUAGUACGGAGGUAUAUAUAUAUAUAUAUAUAUAGUCUAGAGCUACUAUGCUAUCGGAAGUAUAGAGCAUCUGAUGCUUCCAACUUUUUGACCAUUGGAUCAAAAAUUAUACGGUUAGGAUGAUUGCAGUCCCCCCAUUGUUGAGUAGUACCUCUAAGGUUGAGUGGUCCCCACAGGUUAAUAGUGUUAAUCCAAAGGUUAGAAAUGAUUGAAGGGGUUAAUUUAAGGGCUAAAAAAUCGGAAGCACAUCCUUUAUGCUUUCAAUAGCAUAGUAGCUCUACUAUAUAUAUAUAUAUGUGUGUGUGUGUGUGUGUGUGUGUGUACCAGAUCCUUUAUACUUCCAAUAGCAUAGUAGCUCUACUAUAUAUAUAUAAUUGAGUUAGAAUAUUUUUAGAAGUAUCGCCACUUUUCUACUUUUAGGUUUCUAGCCCUUGGAUCUACUCCUUAAUUACAAAUAGCCUUUUGAUCAAACACUAUUCCACCUACUACCAUCAUCCCAACCUUACAUUUCUCCAUCCAAUGAUUAAAAACUCAAAAGCACCAACCUCUAGGUGCUUUUGAGAGUAUUCUAGCUCAACUCUAUAUAUAUAUUGUGUGUGCGCGCGCGUGCAUGUGUGCGUGUGCGUGUGCGUGCGUGCGCGUGCGUGCGUGUGUUCUCUUAAGAGGAUAUAAGUUUUUGUCCUAUCAAAUUAUUUUGGAUGAUCAAAAUUUCAAAUUGAUAAUCGGCACCGUUGAAAUUAAUCUAUAUUAUUAGAAAUAUUUAGAAAUCGAAUUUUAUAAUUUUUAAAAAUUAUUAUCAAAUCCAUCAAAGAGUCGAAAAAUGAACAGUCAAAAAUAAAUGAUCAUAUGAAAAUAGAUGUUAGAUUUUUUCAAAUUGGAGUUAUUAAACAUUAUCUAAAUAGUAUAAAAAAUUUUCUAUCAAAAAUUCAACUGAUAAACAAGCAAAUGGCUUAUAUAGACCGUAAAAAACUGUCAAUUUUGCAAUUCUUUGAUCACUAUGUAAAUAAAUUUUAAAAUUUAUAAAAUUUAGUUUCUAGAUAAUUCAAAUACUCUAAAUUAACUUCAACCAUUUAAAUUAUCGAUUCGAGAUCUCUAUCAUCAAAUAUGAUUUAAUAGGACGAAGGUCCUUAUCCUCCCCGAAAAGGAUAACAGAUGGAUUAUAUAUAUAUAUAUAUAUAUAUAUAUAUAUAGAGAGAGAGAGAGAGAGAGAGAGAGAGAGAGAGAGAGAGAGAGAGCAGGGCUGCUGUGCUCUCAGGAGCACAGAGGCCUCCGUGCUCCUGACUCGUUUUCGAUGAUGGAGUUUCAAAUCAACGAUCGGGUCCGUUAGACUUGAUCUAGCAUAUUUGAAGUUUCUAGAAAAUAAUUUUUGCAAUUUUUCGAUAUCAUUUACCUAGCAAUCGAAAGAAUUCAAAAUCAAUAAUUUUUAACGGCGGAAAAUAAGAUUCCUAUAAAAAGUAGUGAUAUAGCAUUAAAAUUUUCGAUUAAAAAUAUUGAUCUUAUUGUAGAUAGUAUAAAGAAUUUUGUAUCAAAAUUUCAUCUAAUUUGAAUACUUUUACACCAUUAAAUUUGAAAACGGAAGAUAUCAACCAUUAAAAAUCAUGAAUUUUGAAUCCUUUCGAUCACUAGGUAAAUAAUAUCAAAAAAUUAUAAAAAUUAUUUUCUAAAAACUUCAAAUGCGAUAGAUCAAGUCUAACGGAGCCGAUCGUCGAUUCGAAAAUUCCAUCAUCAAAAACAGCUCAGGAGCACGGAGGCCUUCGUGCUCCUUAAAGCACAGCAGCCCUGCUAUAUAUAUAUAUAUAUAUAUAUAUAUAUAUAUAUAUAUAUAUAUAUAUAUAUAUAUAUAUAUAUAUAUGUAGAGUAAGUCUUCUGUAUUUUCGAAAGUAUGGAGACCUUCGUGCUUGUAAGUUGUUUUUGAUGAUAGGAAAUCCGAUUCGACAAUCGGCUCCGCUAAGUAUAAUUUACUCUAUUAGAACUAUUUAGAAACCAAAUUUUAUAAUUUUUUGAUAUCAUUUACCAAGCGAUCGAAAGGUCUCAAAAAUGACUAUUUUAAUGGCCGAUGUGGCACGUUUUUAAGUUCAAUGGUGUAGAAGUAUCCAAAUUAGAUGAAAAUUUAAUAGAAAAUUCUACUUAACAUCAAUAGUAAGAUUAAUACUUUCGAUUUGAAAUUUGAGUCCUUUAUCGCUAUUUUUUUAUGAGAUUUUCGUUUUCAGCCGUUAAUUUUAAGGCUACUCGUUUAUUAAACAAACGAAAUCAAAAAAUUAUGAAAUUUGAUUUCUAGAUAGUUCCAACAACGUCGAUCAUGUCUUACUGAACCGAUCGCCGAAUCGGAUAUCCCAUUAUUGAAAAUAAUUUAUUAGUAUGGAGGCUCCCGUACUUUUGAAAGCAUAGGAGCGCUAGUCUAGCGCGCGCUCUCUCUCUCUCUCUCUCUCUCUAUAUAUA
rnacentral:lncRNA from 1 species